ACAAUGCGGAACUAUUAGUUUUGCAAUUGGAUUGAGAACAAUGUACAAAUGUUAUCGAUAAACAAUUGGAGGGCAAGUCUGGUGCCAGCAGCCGCGGUAAUUCCAGCUCCAAUAGCGUAUAUUAACGUUGUUGCAGUUAAAAAGCUCGUAGUUGAAUUGAAGUGAACUUGGAUUGAUGUGAUCUUCGGAUGACGUGAAUCAAAGUUGACUCUUUCCAAAGUCAAUACAUUGGUAUUCAUUUAUCUUUGUAUUGUGUUUGGUCAUUUACUGUGAGAAAAUUAGAGUGUUCAAAGCAGACGUUUGUUUGAAUACAUUAGCAUGGAAUAAUCAUAUAAGGCUUUCAUGUUGAUUUGAUUGGUUUGAAUAUGGAAGCAAGAUUAAAAGGGACAGUUGGGGGUAUUCAUAUUCAAUAGUCAGAGGUGAAAUUCUGGGAUUU
rnacentral:rRNA from 1 species